UACGUAGGCAGCAAGCGUUGUUCGGAAUUACUGGGCGUAAAGAGUGUGUAGGCGGUGCUCUAAGUUUGGUGUGAAAUCUCCCGGCUCAACUGGGAGGGUGCAUCGAAACUGGAGUGCUCGAGGGUGGGAGAGGUAGCGGAAUUCCUGGUGUAGCGGUGAAAUGCGUAGAUAUCAGGAGGAACACCUGUGGUGUAGACAGCUUACUGGACCACUUCUGACGCUGAGACACGAAAGCGUGGGUAGCAAACAGG
rnacentral:rRNA from 1 species